rnacentral:ncRNA from 2 species
GGAUGGGUCUCUGAAGAGAUCGAUGUAAAUCGACACCGAAGGAGAAAUACACUUAUGUGUAGAAGCUCUCAGGUUUGAAAACAGAGGAAUAUAU